GACGAACGCUGGCGGCGUGCUUAACACAUGCAAGUCGAACGGAAAGGCCCUGCUUUUGUGGGGUGCUCGAGUGGCGAACGGGUGAGUAACACGUGAGUAACCUGCCCUUGACUUUGGGAUAACUUCAGGAAACUGGGGCUAAUACCGGAUAGGAGCUCCUGCUGCAUGGUGGGGGUUGGAAAGUUUCGGCGGUUGGGGGUGGACUGGCGGCUUAUCAGCUUGUUGGUGGGUUAGUGGCUUACCAAGGCUUUGACGGGUAGCCGGCCUGGGAGGGUGACCGGCCACAUUGGGACUGAGAUACGGCCCAGACUCCUACGGGAGGCAGCAGUGGGGAAUAUUGCACAAUGGGCGGAAGCCUGAUGCAGCAACGCCGCGUGCGGGAUGACGGCCUUCGGGUUGUAAACCGCUUUCGCCUGUGACGAAGCGUGAGUGACGGUAAUGGGUAAAGAAGCACCGGCUAACUACGUG
rnacentral:rRNA from 1 species